GAUGAAGAACGUAGCGAAAUGCGAUAAGUAAUGUGAAUUGCAGAAUUCAGUGAAUCAUCGAAUCUUUGAACGCACCUUGCGCCCUUUGGCCAUUCCGAAGGGCAUGCCUGUUUGAGUAUCAUGAACACCUCAACUCUUCAUGGUUUUCCAUGAUGAGCUUGGACUUUGGGGGUCUUGCUGGCCUGUGGGUCGGCUCCUCUCAAAUGAAUCAGCUUGCCGGUUUUUGGUGGGCAUCACAGGUGUGAUAACUAUCUACGCUUGUGGUUUUCCACCAGGGUAACCUUCAGCAGUGGAGGUUCACUGGAGCUUACAAAUGUCUCUCCUCUGUGAGGACAGCCCUUUGAAUGUUUGAUCUCAAAUCAGGUAAGACUACCCGCUGAACUUAAGCAUAUCAAUAAGCGGAGGA
rnacentral:misc_RNA from 1 species